AUUGAACGCUGGCGGCAGGCCUAACACAUGCAAGUCGAGCGCGAAAGUUCUUCGGAAUGAGUAAAGCGGCGGACGGGUGAGUAAUACAUGGGAAUCUGCCUGGUAGUGGGGGACAACGUUUCGAAAGGAACGCUAAUACCGCAUACGCCCUACGGGGAAAGGGGGGAGUCUUCGGACCUCUCGCUAUCAGAUGAGCCCAC
rnacentral:rRNA from 1 species